rnacentral:rRNA from 1 species
GACGAACCGUGCGAACGUUGUUCGGAAUCACUGGGCUUAAAGGGCGCGUAGGCGGGUUCGAAAGUCUGUGGUGAAAGCCUCCAGCUUAACUGGAGAAGUGCCAUGGAUACUGCGAACCUGGAGGAGGGUAGGGGCAUCUGGAACGCUGGGUGGAGCGGUGAAAUGCGUUGAUAUCCAGCGGAACUCCGGUGGCGAAGGCGAGGUGCUGGACCCUUCUGACGCUGAGGCGCGAAAGCCAGGGGAGCAAACGGG